UUUAUACUGGUCCAUACUGGUCCAGGUUGAUCUAUACUGGUUUAUACUGGUCUAUACUGGUCCAUACUGGUCUAUACUGGUUUAUACUGGUUCAUGCUGGUCCAGGUUGAUCUAUACUGGUUUAUACUGGUCCAUACUGGUGCAGGUUGAUCUAUACUGGUUUAUACUGGUCCAUACUGGUCCCUAUUGAUCUAUACUGGUUUAUACUGGUCCCUAUUGAUCCAUACUGGUUCCCAUUGAUCCAUACUGGUUUAUACUGCUUUAUACCGGUCUAUACUGGUUUGUACUGGUUUAUACUGGUCUACACUGGUUUAUACUGGUCCGUAUUGAUCUAUACUGGUCUGUAUCGACCUAUACUGGUCUAUACUGGUUUAUAUCGGUCCAUACUGGUCUAUACUGGUCCGUACUGUCCCAUACUGGUUUGUAUUGAUCUAUACUGGUCCAUACUGGUCUGUGUUGAUCUAUACUGGUUUAUACUGGUCCAUAUAGAUCCAUACUGGUCCCUAUUGAUCCAUACUGCUUUAUACUGCUUUAUACUGGCCUAUACCGGUUUAUACUGGUUUAUACUGGUCCGUACUGGUUGCAGGUGACCGACACUGGCUGUUCUCGGAGGCGGUGCUGCAGCCCGGUUAUCCACGCCCCUUACAGGACCUGGCAGUGGGGCUGCCCAGCCGUGUGGAUGCUGCCCUGCUCUGGUUGCCCAGCGGGGCCACCUACUUCUUCCGGGGCGACAAGUGGGUGCUGUGACCUGCCAGGACCUUUGGGGGACCCUAUGGGGUCUUUUUGGGGUCUUUUGGGGCUUUUUUAGGGACCUUCCAGGACCUUUUCAGGUCUUUUGGGGUGUUUUUGGGGACCUUUUGGGGUCUUUUGGGGGCUUCUUAUGGACCUUCCAGGACCUUUUGGGGCCUUUUUAGGGACCUUCCAGGACCACCUACUUCUUCUGGGGCGACAAGUGGGUGCUGUGACCUGCCAGGACCUUUGGGGGACCCUAUGGGGUCUUUUUGGGGUCUUUUGGGGCUUUUUUAGAGACCUUCCAGGGCCUUUUGGGGCCUUUAGGGGGCUUCUUAUGGACCUUCCAGGACCUUUUGGGGUCUUUUGUGGCCUUUUUAGGGGCCUUUAGGUGGCUUCUUAUGGACCUUCCAGGACCUUUUGGGGUCUUUUGGGGCUUUUUUAGGGACCUUCCAGGACCUUUUGGGGUCUUUUGCGGCCUUUUUAGGGACCUUUUGGGGCCUUUAGGGUGCUUCUUAUGAACCUUCCAGGACCUUCAGGGUCUUUGGGGACCUGCCAGGACCUUUGGGGGAUCCUAUGGGGUCUUUUUGGGGUCUUUUUGGGGUAUUUGGGGCUUUUUUGGGGCUUUUUGGGGGCUUUUAUGGACCUUCCAGGACCUUCUGGGGGGUCUUUUGUGGCCUUUUUAGGGACCUUCCAGGACCUUUUGGGGCCUUUUUAGGGACCUUUUGG
rnacentral:lncRNA from 1 species